GUGCUCACUUCGGUGGCACAUAUACUAAAAUUGGAAUGAUAUAGAAGAUAAGCAUGGCCUUUGAGCAAGGAUGACACGCAAAUUCAUGAAGCGUUCCAUAUUUAA